GCUGGCUGCAUAUAAAUCUGACAGUCAUUCCAUAGCUUGCCAAGCAGAGCUAACAAGAAAAGUACCUGUACGAUGCUCUAGUCUGGGAGAAACUUCAAGAAGAUUUUAAGACAUACACUGGGAGCAGCAGAACGUAAAAGGGAUCAUAUUUGCUUUGAAGAUAAGCAUUAAUACAUGGACACAGCUCUCCUUUUCCUAGCAAGAACAGAGUUCCCAAAACCUAUCCCUAGUUUGCCUGUCUGCUUGUAGAAAAAAAAAGAAAUACAUUUGAAAAGCCACAGGUAUUAGUCAUCAACUCUGGUGAUUAUGCAGUGAAAUAAUCAAACCACCUUAUGUGGCUUCCUUCUGUUGCUUCCAGAGCUUCUGGUGUGCUCCUUAAUAGGGGACCUGGUACCUCUUUUGUGAAGCAGCAGGUGAGACUCUGGCGCUCGCCAUGGCUGAUGAAAGGUCCAAGGAAGGAGUUAAGACUGAGAACAACCAUCAUACUAAAUUGAAGGUGGCAGGGCAGGAUGGUUCUGUGGUGCAGUUUAAGAUUAAGAGCCUCUUAAUCUUAAACUAAUGAAAAGCCUAUGGUGAAUGACAGGGUGUGUCAAUGAGGCAGAUGGGAUUCUGAUUUGAUGGGCAGCCAAUUAAUGUAACAGACACACCUGCACAUGGAAAUGGAGGAUGAAGGUGCAGUUGAUGUGUUCCAGCAGCAGACAGGAGGUGUCUACUAAAAAGGGAACCUGCCGCUUUAAUCCAGAGUUCUCUCUGUUCUUACAGACCAAGAACAUAUUCUCAAUUUGAAAAGUGCAAUUUGGUUCCACCUCAUCCUGACUACCACAGUACAUUAUUCUUUUAUUUUCCACUUUCCC
rnacentral:lncRNA from 1 species